UCCUACCGGUCAGUGGAAAGGCUGCAUCAGCCUUUCACUGUGCACAACAAAGGGAAAACCGCCUGCAUGGCAACACUGACUUUCAGUUCAAAUUGUUGCGGAAAUUAGACAACACUCGCUGACUCGUCCUCUGAAGUUCCAGCUCCAUUCUGUCCAAAACCAACAGACAUGAUUAUCAGACUGGGACGCCUGACUCCUGGAUACUUCCGUCUCCUGCAGAGGCAGGUAGCUGGUGAGGUUCAGACCCAGCCUCAGGAUGGCUCCCUUAACCAAAUUGCCAUGAUGCUUGCCAUUAUGGGUCUUGGCCUGUCCUACUACAGCGCCAAACAGAUGACCGAGAAGGUGCAACAUAGCCCGGUGCCCUGAACACAACCAUGACCUCUGAUCCAUUUGACUCCCUGCGGUGGAACAAAAGCCAAAUCGGAGAUGGAGGUUUGGAAGAAGACCUUAUCCAGGACUUCAUGUACACUACUUCACCAGAAGCCUGGAUGUUCUGAGUUUAGUCGGCAUGAGACGAGUACAGGGUUUUUAGCAAGCACUGUCAACAAAAAAAUAGCGUUCAGAUGUGACCUGUGUCUUGAUAGUUGCACUGGUACAUUCAUCAGGGUCCUUUAAUACCUCUGAGGCCAAAAUUUUGGCUUAUCUUCAGUGAUUCCUAUUUAAAGGGAAUGAGCCAGUCACUGGUACUUUGGUGUAGAAUAUAUGCCCUUUUAAAGGGAAACCCUCUGCCUUCUGUAUCAAGCAACUGUUAAAUGCAGGUCACUAAAAAAACUAGGGAUUAUUUUAUUUUUUAUUUUUUUGGGGUGAAAAGCUGCUUAAAUGGAGACUAGGCAUCGCAGGAAUCCUGCAAACUCGCACUGGAAGAGCAGUACCAAACUACACUAUGAUAUGAAAUUAAAGGCCCAUUCGGUGUUACACACAGAUUUAUUGUACUGUUCUAAGUAGCCAUGUUUUUGUGACGUUUUUGAGCAAAGACCUUAAAUGUUAAAGGGAUAUUAACAAGUGCACGUGUGUCGAGAUUUUAAAGAAUCCAAUAUGUGAUCUUGUCAAAUGAUUUUUAUAUGAAUGUAUGUUGAUUAUUUAAAAUUUGAUUAAAUAAAGCUGUGAACAUUUUUGAACAA